GACCUCAUCCGUUCGCCAUUUUGGAUAUGCAGUUGCGUUCAACAACUUGUUCAAAACAAAGGCAAUAAUUUGAUAUUCGGUACCCACCGUGUACUGUUCAAAUUCCACCUAAUCCUGUGAAUCCUGGUGGAGGAAACUGUAGAACCUGGAGAGAACCCCACACCUCACUGAGGAGAACAUUAGAACUCCAUGCACCAGGACCACCGUGGAAACUCUGGGUUCAUUCUGAUCUGCUGUUCACUCUGUCAUUCACACCCUCCCUCUCUCCCUCUGGACUUCUCCCAUCACUUGUCCAAGUGAGGGAGUGGCGUGACACCAAUGUGAUGGGUCUGCACAGCCUGUCAAGAUGGACUGCUACCCUGGGAGAUCGGCGAAAAACCUGCACACACUUCUACGUACACUAGCACAUCCACAUACAGACGGACGGCCGACAUCCACCGCUACACACGCCCGUGCAUCCACCCAUAUUCACACAUAAUCGCACACGUGCAUGGUCGUACAAUCACAGUGACACACACACGGUCCAGUGGACUUCUGUCAGGCCAAGGUCACUCAAUCUGACAGAGGUCCAGUUGGAACAGAUCCAGGGAGGCAGUGCUGCUUCACUGCCUCCACUGGAACGUGAAAUAUGCUGAAGAACAUUAAAACAAACACACACUCACACACACACUCCUUCCUUCACCUCACGGAAUGCAGAUCAUACGACGUGCUCUGAUGUCUGUGGGUUCGCAAAUGAUGUCCCCGACCACUGUUUGGUAAACGAUAAUACAAUA